rnacentral:rRNA from 1 species
UACGUAGGGGGCAAGCGUUGUCCGGAUUUAUUGGGCGUAAAGGGUGCGUAGGCGGCCGUGUAAGUCUGGCGUGAAAGCCCCGGGCUCAGCCCGGGAAGUGCGCUCGAAACUGCACGGCUCGAGUGCCGGAGGGGAGAGUGGAAUUCCUGGUGUAGCGGUGAAAUGCGUAGAUAUCAGGAGGAAUACCGGUGGCGAAAGCGACUCUCUGGACGGUAACUGACGCUGAGGCACGAAAGCGUGGGGAGCAAACAGG